UACGUAGGUGGCGAGCGUUGUCCGGAUUUACUGGGUGUAAAGGGCGAGUAGGCGGGCUUGCAAGUCAGAUGUGAAAUACCGAGGCUCAACUUCGGAGCUGCAUUUGAAACUGUAAGUCUUGAGUGAUGGAGAGGCAGGCGGAAUUCCCAGUGUAGCGGUAAAAUGCAUAGAUAUUGGGAAGAACACCAGUGGCGAAGGCGGCCUGCUGGACAUUAACUGACGCUGAGGAGCGAAAGUGUGGGGAG
rnacentral:rRNA from 1 species